rnacentral:lncRNA from 1 species
CAAAUUAAAAAGAGUAAAAUGAUACUUUGUAUUUUCUUUACAUUAAAUAAGUUCAAAAAUUAAACUAAAAAACCAAAAAUAAAAGAAAAUGGGCAUCAUCAUCUUCCUCAUUCCAUUACCUCCACUAAUCUCCUAUCAAAUCAAAACUUUCGGGCGGCCACCGGCCACUACAUCAUCCCACACAAAACAAUUGGACAAAUAACGUCAUAUGGAGAUCAAGAUAAACUCUUAAAACUAUGGAAGUCGAACGGUCCAACAACAAAAUUUGGCAACUCCGAUGACACCCACGGUCAUGCAUCAUUGCCAGCCAAUUUACCUCAACUAGACGCUCGAAUUUGUGGUGAGACAUCAUCCAGAAUAGUUCCGAUAAAUACGGGUCUGCCUCGGGAAGCAUAACGAGGCAGUUUCAUCUCCUUUAAUUAAUGGGUUUGGGAAUGGUUUUUCACAAAAUUGGCAACACACGAAUUAUCAAUAGCAUCAUACGACCAGUGGUGUGUACUCAAUUUCUCUAGUUGAUAUCCCAAUCGACCCAAUUUGGAUAAUUCUACUCUAAAUCAUAUGCAAACUAAGGAAAUGUUGCCUCUUCCUAUUGAUGAAUCUGGAGAUCGUUUUCCACCAAAUUGGCAACCAACAAAUCCUUCAGCAACACCAGACGUUGUUAGGUUUACCCUGUAUUGAUCUAAUUGAGUCACAAAUUGCUCCGAUUCUGGCUUCAAAUUCUACCUAAUUCCACUCGCAAAACGAGUUUCCAGUUUCUUCAAUUUCUAUUGGGGCCCACACCACAGGACAACCUCCAAUUGUUUGCAUGGGAUGUGAAAACGGAUUCGAUUUGAUUUUUGGUUUAGGUGUUGGAGUAGUGAGAUCAUUGUUUAUUUUGAUUUGUUUUCUUGGUUUUGAUAGAGAUGGUGUUUAUUUUUGAUUUUGUGGGCCGCGGUGGUGGUCGGCGGUGUGGUGGUCUGUGAUGGCCUGGC